CCCUGGCUUCAGUUGCAGGCAGGAGUUGCGGACAACCUAUGCAACAAAAGCCGCCGCAGAGCCGAGAGACUGUCCGACCGCUGAGCGGACAAAAACACGGAGCCAGCGGCUGACACAACCCGACGAGGUACGACUGCAGGGUUUAAAAUUGCAGUCUGGACUAAAACGUCAACGUCUCAAUUAAUGAAGCUUUUAAGGCCUUUUGAUUGAUCAGCCAAUCGAUGGGGAUUUUCAGAGGAGCUCCGCCCACCUUCGCUGCCUGCCCUCCUCCUCCUCCCCAUUCCCCCCGCGGACUCUUCUUUGCCCCCACCCACUCCGUCAUCCAGACCUCCAUCCUGCCCUCAAUCCAGCCCUCUAUACACAAAAUGACUCUGAAACUUACUGAAUGGUCUUCUAUAUGGAUUUUUACAGCUUGUAAUAGACAGUAAGAAAAAGAGGGAGAAACCUCAAUGACAAAAAAGCCAUAAACA